GUGGGGAAUCUUCCGCAAUGGACGAAAGUCUGACGGAGCAACGCCGCGUGAGUGAAGAAGGUUUUCGGAUCGUAAAGCUCUUUCGUUAGGGACGAACGUGCUCUUUGUGAAUAAUGAGGAGUAAUGACGGUACCUAAAUAAGAAGCCACGGCUAACUACGUGCCAGCAGCCGCGGUAAUACGUAGGUGGCAAGCGUUGUCCGGAAUUAUUGGUCGUAAAGCGCGCGCAGGCGGGAUAUCAAGUCUGUCUUAAAAGUGCGAGGCUCAACCUCGUGAGGGGACAGAAACUGGUAUUCUUGAGUGUCGGAGAGGAAAGUGGAAUUCCAAGUGUAGCGGUGAAAUGCGUAGAGAUUUGGAAGAACACCAGUGGCGAAGGCGACUUUCUGGACGAUGUCUGACGCUGAGGCGCGAAAGCUAGGGGAGCGAACGGGAUUAGAAACCCCGGUAGUCC
rnacentral:rRNA from 1 species